rfam:Dipodomys ordii contig_5972, whole genome shotgun sequence.
GGGAAUGUAGCUUAGUGGUAGAGUGCUUGCCUAGCCUGCAUGAAGCCCUGGGUUCGAUUCCUCAGUACCA